rfam:Canis lupus familiaris chromosome 3, whole genome shotgun sequence.
GCCUGGGUGGCUCAGUGGUUGAGCAUCUGCCUUUGGCUCAGGUCGUGAUCCCAGUGUCCUGGGAUCGAGUCCCACAUCAGGCU